GAUAAAACAAGCGCUUCGGGCACAGUCUGAGAACUUGUUCUCACCUCUCUCUAUAUGGUUGCUCCGUUGCCGCUGUUAAUGCCAUAUCAGUAACCUUAGCUAUUGAAUCGGCUGGAAACGGAAUAACACCAGUUAGGUGGCUAGCUAGAAGCAUUCCAGGCUAGGUAUUUAAGAGCUGAUUCUUUUCAUGUGCAGCAGCUAGAGAGAAUGGCCUAAAAGCAGUACGGAUUCGGACAUGGGAGCAUUAGGAAGAUUCUUUCUAGCUUAUGUGAUUCACCUUUGAAUCAUGUGAGUCACUCCAAAAAUAAGGGUAGUGUACUCCCUUCUUAGAGAGAAAGAAAUGCUUGAACAACCUAUUCUCAAACAACGUAUUCUAGCAGCGCAUUCUCUAACAUUCAAUUCUCUGAGAUUUCCUGGUAUUCAAGUAGCUAGGGAUAGAUUCAAUACGAGGUGUAAAAGAGCAAGGGCAGUACUCUGUCUGUCAUUGAGUGAACUUACCUUCCUUAUUCUUAUUCUUCUGCUUGAUGGGAUCGUUAUGAUUGAUUCAAUCCCUUCUUCAGCCAAAGCUGAACCCAAAACAUAAGCAAGAGGUCCUGAGACAGACGACCUAUGAGACUGCUUUCCUAAAUUCCCCUCGGCUCGGUAUCAAAUCAAGGAAGAUUGUGCACUAAAUCAAAUCACCAGGUCUGAGCUUAAAGCUCCAAGAAGGAUUGGCUCUCCACCUCUCACAUCCAAGUAACUAAAAAAUCUUUCCUGUGUAAGAUCCAAGGGAGUCUAAGACUUAAACUAAACCCUGGGAUUUCCUGUAUCCAAGGAAGAAUAAGAAUCCUCAUCUACACGAUCGCUAUCAAGGUUGUGAGCUGUCAGAGCUCAAAGGUUUUUGAGUAUGCCCCCUUAUUCCCAUAUCGCUAGGGAUUUGUUGAAUAUGAGGAAUCAACUGCAAUUCCCCUUGAGAUCAAGUUAGAAGAAUCAUCUUUUUUGAAUUCCAGUCCUGAUCUCAGAAGAGGAACGACUCACGGGUUUAUGAGGGAGGUUCUUCAAUUCCCGAAUCAGACUCGAGCCGGUCGAACCUUCUUUUCUGAGGGAUUCCCCUUAGAACCAGUUCUCAUCAUUUUUCUAUGUCCUUUGGGUAAGAGCUUUAGAUCUACUAGUCCUAGUUUCCGAACUCGAGCGCGUAGACCUAGUAGGCGAUGAAACUAUUGAAACGGUGAAGAGUAGAGGAGCAACAAGCAACUCGAUGAAGGGCACUCAUAGGGGAGCUCACCAUGCCCCAGAGAACUCAAACAACCUCAUGAAAGGAAAAUCAAUAUGAAGCCCUUGCUUGCAUUUGGGAAUAGAAUAUUGAGAACCGGUGCUGGCUUGAAUAAGAUCCUAAGCAGCUUUUCUUCUGAAUUAGCUGGUCACUGGUGAUGCCAUUCCUUAACGGGGCUUACGAUUCC
rnacentral:lncRNA from 1 species